rnacentral:piRNA from 1 species
UGACAAAGGAGGGAUGUAAGCCAUACAAU